UCCCAAAAUAUAUGUUAAGUGGAAAAGGAUGUGGCGUUGCCCAGACAACUAGGAUGUUGGCUUAGAAGCAGCCAUCAUUUAAAGAGUGCGUAAUAGCUCACUAGUCGAGUGACACUGCGCCGAAAAUGUACCGGGGCUAAACAUAUUACCGAAGCUGUGGAUUGUCCUUUGGACAAUGGUAGGAGAGCGUUCUAAGGGCGUUGAAGCAUGAUCGCAAGGACAUGUGGAGCGCUUAGAAGUGAGAAUGCCGGUGUGAGUAGCGAAAGACGGGUGAGAAUCCCGUCCACCGAUUGACUAAGGUUUCCAGAGGAAGGCUCGUCCGCUCUGGGUUAGUCGGGUCCUAAGCUGAGGCCGACAGGCGUAGGCGAUGGAUAACAGGUUGAUAUUCCUGUACCACCAUUAUUCGUUUUAAGCGAUGGGGGGACGCAGUAGGAUAGGCGAAGCGUGCUGUUGGAGUGCACGUCCAAGCAGUGAGAUUGAGUGUUAGGCAAAUCCGGCACUCUUAAGAUUGAGCUGUGAUGGGGAGAGGAACUUGUUCCUCGAGUCGUUGAUUUCACACUGCCGAGAAAAGCCUCUAGCUAGAAUAACGGUGCCCGUACCGCAAACCGACACAGGUAGUCAAGAUGAGAAUUCUAAGGUGAGCGAGCGAACUCUCGUUAAGGAACUCGGCAAAAUGACCCCGUAACUUCGGGAGAAGGGGUGCUCUUUGAGGUUCACGCUUCGAAGAGCCGCAGUGAAUAGGCCCAAGCGACUGUUUAUCAAAAACACAGGUCUCUGCUAAACCGUAAGGUGACGUAUAGGGGCUGACGCCUGCCCGGUGCUGGAAGGUUAAGAGGAGUGGUUAGCGCAAGCGAAGCUACGAAUCGAAGCCCCAGUAAACGGCGGCCGUAACUAUAACGGUCCUAAGGUAGCGAAAUUCCUUGUCGGGUAAGUUCCGACCCGCACGAAAGGCGUAACGAUUUGGGCACUGUCUCAACGAGAGACUCGGUGAAAUCAUAGUACCGGUGAAGAUGCCGGUUACCCGCGACAGGACGGAAAGACCCCGUGGAGCUUUACUGUAGCCUGAUAUUGAAAUUCGGUACAGUUUGUACAGGAUAGGUAGGAGCCUUAGAAGCGUGAGCGCUAGCUUACGUGGAGGCAUUGGUGGGAUACUACCCUAAUUGUAUUGGAUUUCUAACCCGCAGCACUUAUCGUGCUGGGAGACAGUGUCAGGCGGGCAGUUUGACUGGGGCGGUCGCCUCCUAAAGAGUAACGGAGGCGCUCAAAGGUUCCCUCAGAAUGGUUGGAAAUCAUUCAUAGAGUGUAAAGGCAUAAGGGAGCUUGACUGCGAGACCUACAAGUCGAGCAGGGUCGAAAGACGGACUUAGUGAUCCGGUGGUUCCGCAUGGAAGGGCCAUCGCUCAACGGAUAAAAGCUACCCCGGGGAUAACAGGCUUAUCUCCCCCAAGAGUUCACAUCGACGGGGAGGUUUGGCACCUCGAUGUCGGCUCAUCGCAUCCUGGGGCUGUAGUCGGUCCCAAGGGUUGGGCUGUUCGCCCAUUAAAGCGGUACGCGAGCUGGGUUCAGAACGUCGUGAGACAGUUCGGUCCCUAUCCGUCGUGGGCGUAGGAAAUUUGAGAGGAGCUGUCCUUAGUACGAGAGGACCGGGAUGGACAUACCUCUGGUGUACCAGUUGUCGUGCCAACGGCAUAGCUGGGUAGCUAUGUAUGGACGGGAUAAGUGCUGAAAGCAUCUAAGCAUGAAGCCCCCCU
rnacentral:rRNA from 1 species